AGGACUUGACAUGUUACGAAUUUCCUUGAAAAAGGAAAGUGCCUUCGGGAACGUAAACAC
rnacentral:rRNA from 1 species